rnacentral:rRNA from 1 species
GAUGAACGCUAGCGGCAGGCCUAAUACAUGCAAGUCGGACGGGAUCCAUUGAUAGCUUGCUAUCAAUGGUGAGAGAGGCGCACGGGUGCGUAACGCGUGAGCAACCUGCCUCCAUCAGGGGGAUAGCCUCUCGAAAGAGAGAUUAACACCGCAUAAUAUCAACAGUUCGCAUGUUCAGUUGAUUAAAUAUUUAUAGGAUGGAGAUGGGCUCGCGUGACAUUAGCUAGUUGGUAGGGUAACGGCUUACCAAGGCGACGAUGUCUAGGGGCUCUGAGAGGAGAAUCCCCCACACUGGUACUGAGACACGGACCAGACUCCUACGGGAGGCAGCAGUAAGGAAUAUUGGUCAAUGGGCGGAAGCCUGAACCAGCCAUGCCGCGUGCAGGAUGACUGCCCUAUGGGUUGUAAACUGCUUUUGUCCAGGAAUAAACCUAAAUACGAGUAUUUAGCUGAAUGUACUGGAAGAAUAAGGAUCGGCUAACUCCGUG